rnacentral:tRNA from 1 species
UGGGGCGUGGCCAAGUGGUACGGCAGCGGUUUCUGGUACCGAAGAUCGUAGGUUCGACCCCUACCGCCCCAGCCA